rnacentral:rRNA from 1 species
UACGUAGGUGGCAAGCGUUGUCCGGAAUUAUUGGGCGUAAAGCGCGCGCAGGCGGUCCUUUAAGUCUGAUGUGAAAUCCCGUGGCUUAACCACGGGCGGUCAUUGGAAACUGGGGGACUUGAGUGCAGAAGAGAAGAGCGGAAUUCCACGUGUAGCGGUGAAAUGCGUAGAGAUGUGGAGGAACACCAGUGGCGAAGGCGGCUCUUUGGUCUGUAACUGACGCUGAGGCGCGAAAGCGUGGGGAGCGAACAGG